ACUGAACCCAGCCAUGGCUUUCCCUUAGGCAUGGAGGCUUGAGAGCCGGGAACAACGUGAUCCUGAUCACAGCGCAGCCAGCGAUGCCUUCAGCGGCCUUGAGCAAGUCAUACAUUCUCUAAAUCUGUAAGGAAUUUGUGCCAAUUCCAGACAACUCCAGAUGUGUGUCUUUCCCACCAGUAUCUGCAGAGACUUGGCUCUGGAGACGGGGAUCUGCUUGCCAGCAUACCGCCUCCUGGUGCCUUCAGCCCCAAGGGUCAAGUUCCUGCUGCCACACUCAUCCCGGGCUGUGCUGCCGGACAUGCUGUGGGAUGGAGGGCAGACAUGUUGUCUUUCAAUUCCCUGCCAUCUUCAAGGGUGUCAUCAGAAUCAUGGGGGUCCUGAAGAAGACUAAAGAACCAGAGUCAAGAUGCAAAAACUGAGAAUAUCAUAACCUGCUGCCCUGACUACUAUGGCUGUAAUGUUCCAGUUCCACAGAUGUAAACACUGCCUGGUACUCGGGAUUCACCGAGCACAGUUUAUGUAAUGCUGGUUGUAACUAUCUGCAAUUGCACAACUUCUCUGAAUUUGGCCUUGGAAAACUCGGUGACUUUAGGAUCGCUGGCAUUAACAACUGCCCUUUCCAGUCUGAGAAUAUGAACAAGGUGCUGCAAAGUUCUCAUUUUAUUAUGAACAGAGAUGGAUGAAACCAGAUGCAUAACAAAGAAAAUCUUUCACAAGCAGCUUAAGCACUGGAUGUGCAAUGAAGACAACUACAUUUCAGCUCAAAGGUGGCUGCAUUUGAACCACAGGGAAGUAAUCCAUUUAUAAACAAACUUCUCAAGCAUUUUGGGAUGAACACCCUAUACAGAAUCAGUUACAAUUCACUCUACUUCUGUGACAAACUCUCGUUUCAUGUUAUUGUUUUCCUGGUUUUGCUACACCAAUCACACUGCAAUUCUAAAUGUCUUCACUGUGCUGGAACAGCAGUCCACUACAUUCAAAAAAGCCAACAGAAUAAAAAAAAACUUGUGAAGGAAAUUGUUGCUGUGUAUGCAGCCUGCUCAUGCUCAAAAGCUGUUCAUGUUCCAUUUCUCUGUUAACAAAUGGCUACCAGUAAUUUGAUGGCAUUAACAUGUUUUUGAAUAUUGGGUGUACUUCACCCAUUAGUAGCAUGUCCUGGCAUUGUGUUCUGUUGCAUGACGGUCAUCUUCCAUUUGAGCUCCCAGCUGCCUUCACUUUCUACUCUGAUGCUCUCCUGACUCCACAACAGCUCACCUCAUCAGCAGAAACAACCAACCUGUAUAUCAACAGUUUCACAUUCUGGGACAUGCCUACAGAAGCACAUCCAAAGGGAUGUAUUGAGAGUUCAUCAGCAUUACUGAAGGCUUCAAAGAUUCUUGGAUGAACUGUGCAGUAUGAACAGAAACUAGUUGAUAUUGUCGCUUCCUUUUUUAGUGACAUCCCUCUGCUGUUGUAUUGUGCUCUCACAUUCCUUAGUUAAGCUUGCUUGAGGGAUUUGAUUUCACUUGGGCUUGAACUCUUUGUUUCCUUCCUCCAAGAGGAUGCUGGAAUACACCUUUAAGCACAGCAAAUUUCACACAUCCAUAACUUUGCACACAAGGCCCUUACAAACUGCGUCUAUCUGACCUUCCUCAUCUUUCUUAAUACACUCAAACAAGGAAGGGGAGACCAGUUUAAUACAUGCAUGUUUUGCAGCUCCUGCAGCCCCAUGCAUUUUGAAGGCCAGAAAGAGCAUUCUCUGCCACAGUAAAUGAUUUUGCAUAGAUGAGAAGCUUUGGUUUAUAGAAAAAACCUGCAACUAGAUGCUCAUGUGACUGCAGUUUUACAAGAAAAAGCAUAACUUCUAAGCUCUUGAUAGUGAGGUAUAGUCCCAAGCCUGGAUACAGAUUUCUGCUCCAGGAACUGAUCUCUAUGUCUACGUGCCUUCAAGAGGCCUUCUGAAUACAGGAACAUCUUUGUUUCCCCAUUUUAUAAUACUCUCUUAUAAUAGAGGGGUUUAGAAAAGUUCAUUUCUAGAAGCUUUUACAAAUGUUAAAUAUCAGUUGUUUCAGUCUUGUUCUGUUAAGGUGGUGGAAUCACCGUCCCUGGAGGUAUUUAAAAAAAAUGUAGAUGUGGGGCUUAGGGUCAUGGUUUAGUGAUGGACUUGGCAGUCCUUAGUUAAUGGUUGGACUUGAUGAUCUCAAAAGUCUUUUCCAACCUAAAUGAUUCUAUGAUUACAAAGUAGCCCUGCAAUUCUUCCAUCCUCUGCUGUUAAAAAAAGAGCUCUUCUCUUGCAGUCUUUACAUUACUUUAUUAAAUUGUACAAGGUAGUUUCAUGAGGUAAGGUCCCUUAUGGCUUUUUGCAGUUACAAAGUGCAGGAAGAUGAGUGUUUAGACAGCAAGUAACAAUUUUGUGAGUAAAAGUGAAGGAACCACUGACAAAAGGUUUCCAUAUAUAACUCUCCCUGUCUGUACUCUCAGAGCAGUUGUCUGUGAUAGCUCCUUUUUCACGUUGUGUCUAGGACAGAACAACUCACAUUCAGAAAGCAUCAGCAGGCAUGGAACACACACACCCACACAAGCGUUAGGUGCUCAAGCACAUUCCCUGUAGCUCUUGAAUUUCCCCCUCUGCAGCAAUGAUUCAACUUGGUGAUGGUAUGGUGAAUGGAUCAGGGGAAGAAAGACAAUAAUAUUAGUAUCAAUAUCAAUAUCAAGAACAGCAAGUAACGCAAAUGAUGAUAUUAAUGAUCAUUUGCACCAAGAUAGCAAGUGUCAGGUCUAGUUGGGGGUUUUCUGUAAGGAUCUCUGUGCAUCUCCUGUGCAGAGCAGAAGCCUUGAGGCAGGUGCAUGGGGAUCUUCCUUGGGGAUCGGGGACUUAUGAUGAGGGCAACCUACAUCAGACAGUGCUCUGUACACAGGAGGGCUGUGGGCAGCUGGGGAGCCCCACUGGCUGCUGUAGUCAGAGCUGGGGUCCGAGCUUGGCUGGAGGCAUGGGCUUGUCAUGCCUCCUCUGUCCUUCAUCUGUCCCCUCAAAAGUCAUGCUUGGCCUAACCAUUAUAGCUGCUCAGAGGCAGUGGUUCCCUUCAACACAUGCUCAAUAAUCCCAAUGGAACUGGGAUUAUUGCAGCAGUUUGGAAAAGAAGAAAAAUAUAUAUUACCAGGCUGGAUAAAACAUUAAGGCAGUGUUGGCUUGAUGAGGGCAGAGCUCCUGCCAGAUGAAGCAUUUGCACCUGGAAAUUCACAGGGCAGAAGACUGGUGCUGGAGCAUUUGUGUUGCCAUCAGCAGGGCAGCAGCUCGUCCGCACGUACUCAGACUCCCAGGAGGCCAGGGCUGAGGGCUCCUCAAGGAGGUCAGGUUUUAUAUAGUAAAGCAAACAGUUUAGCUAAUCAAGGAUUUUUUUUUUCUUUUCUUUUCUGAGGCUUUUGGCACCCAGCCCUGUUACUUGCAAUCUUUAAUUUGUACUGUGGCUUCCUUUUCCCUGCUGCCUUCUCACUCACUCCAAUUUUCCCACACACUUAUUUUCUAACUUUACCUCUUAUGGAGGUCUUAAUUUAUUUCAGACCCAAAUUUAUCUUAAUCCUACAAAACACUGCUGUUACCUCACCAUUUAUUCCUGUGACUGCUAUCACAAAUUCAUGAGCUUGAAAAGUUUAUGAAAAAAAAAAGCGCCUUUUUUUGUGUUGUAGAAAAUAAUCGAUGAUACCUCACAUACUUACAAUGCAACUUUAUUCAUACGCACUUAUAGAAAUUGAUUGUGGAUCAACUUAGACCUUCUUUUUGGUUAUACAGCUGCCUAAGUCUCAAAAUAGGGGGUUCAACUGGAUUUUUUUAUAGGAUCUGUGUAUGUUCAAGCUACACACAGCACUCACAAGCUGACCAUGAAAAAGCCUUUUAUCAUAUGGCUUCCACUAUAAGGGAGCAGGUUCUGAUGAAACAAAGUCACAUUUUGGCAGAUUCUCCCUCCCAAUUCCACACUGCUAAGAAAAAAAUGGAAGAGAGAAAAGCAUUUUUUCUGGUUAGCACAGCUACCUAGUCAUAGCACUUACUCUGUGUAAUUUGUGUAGAGAAACUGAUGAAGGCAACAUGCAAAUAAACAUCUCAACUAAAACCACAGCAAAAUCCCAUUAAAAAUCUACAACUCUCUAGUCCACGGCGCAGGCUGGCUUGCUCAAGAGCUGAUAAUAAGAUGCACAGGAACACGGGUGGAAAGUGACCCCCUGAUCACCAGGUUCUGCCUCAUGAAAUCACCUUUAAAUGACCUAUUCAAGUGUUCCUUCAGUCUGUACACACUGUAGGAGCCACAACACACCACCACCCUGUAACAAAUGCACAGCCUCCACCGCACAUGUAGAUCCACCUGAUCUCAUUUCAGGUAAAUACUUCUCCUCCGUCUCUGUGGUUAUUUCUGUCUCCACAGAACUCCUCUGACUCUGAAUGGAGCCCAAGUUGCCAGGGCAGCACUUUCCAAGCCGUGAAGCAAGCUGUGAACAGCUAACAAAGCCUGACACGCAUUCCACACAUUUUCACUAUAACUGGCCUUCACAGCCACUUCCACGCAGGCACAGAAGGGUUUUAAUGGAUUGCAGUGAAGAAGGGGCUAAAAGCACUGACAGACUGAGCUAGCAGGCAGCGCAUGGCCUGUGUGCAGGCCUUCUGCAAGGCGGCAGGUCACAGCCACGGUCCAGCAGACAGGACACAACCGGCUGUUGUUCUUUGGCGGCCCCUGCAAAGUUGUCCCUCGGACUGAACACUGCCACACGUUAGGAAGCAGAUCCUGCCAAGACGUGCACUGCACACGCUCUGUGAGGCAGUCAGUCCAAUACUUCUCAUUAAUUUCAGAAUCCACCACUGAAGAAAACACAGCUCUUUAUAAGGUGGGACACGUUUUAAAAGAAAACAGUUGGUGCAGAUUCAAGUGGUAUAAAGCUGCAUGGCCCUAUUAAAUACCAGGGGGUGUUGCUGAUUUAUACCAGCUGAGAAGUUGGCUAAUAUUCUUCUGGAGCCACCACCUCUCCCAUUCGUAACUGCCAGUAGAAACUCUGGGAAAUGCUAGAAGAAAUGAAAAAUGGAGCACAUUUAUGUGAAAAAGUUUCGAUGUAAAACAAAUGUCUGCUCACUGCACAAAAGCUGAAAUAAUACAGCCGUUAUUGGAACUGUGCUACAAUAAAACAAGCUGGAUGAGUCAACCAGCAGUGCAUCUAAUCUCUACCGGCUGCCUUUCCGGUCCCCAAGCUCCCCAUCUAUUUUUAUCUCUUCUUUUUUUAAUAUACUUUUUGGUUUACAAGCAAUAAAUCUACAGCUCUUGGGUCCCCUGUGUGCACUCUUGCCGGCAGGCCACUCAGCAUUUAGGAUGUUACCCAGACCAUUUUGGCUAUUAGAUCACCGAACAUGGAGGCUAGAAUUCAGAUCCAAGAGACACUGUGGCCCAGAGGACAUGGCAGUGGCUACUGAUAGCGUGGGGCAUGGCGAAUAUUUUUGCACUGAAGGCAAGCAGGCACCGCACAUGAGCUGCGUGGCACACUCUUCAGGUGGCCAGGGAGUUAGCAUGGAAGUUAGCAGCAAUUUGCUCCUGGCACGCAGCAUUGCCUGAUGAAGCGGGGCAGGGGCUGCAGCUGCAAGACUGUGGGCUAACUGAGGGACCCCAGCCGUGCCACUGCCAUUUGCGGCAGCACAGCAAAACAUGCUUGACUGAUAGACGUGCAUCAGUGCAGAUGCCUGAGGAGCUUUGGUAUGUGCUUGCUUCCAGACUUGCAGGAACACAGUUUCGGGCCAGUGCUCUAUCCAAGGUCCAUGAUACAGCACAGGGCACAUACAGAGAAUAUCGUGUGAUGUGCUCAAUGGUCAUGCAAUAACUAGUGGAAGAGCUAACACCAAAAUGGCACUGGCAGUCACAGUCUGUUAUUGUGCCUAUAAAAAACCAAUGCCGUUUCCUUUUUUCCAUGGGUGGGGAGAUUUUUAGUUAAGCUAAAUGCACCCGGUCCACCUUAGGACCUUAUAUGUUACCGAUUACAGAGUGUAAUAUUUGGAAAUGGAGAAAAAGACAAUCCUGAUUUCAGAAUCACUGUGCAGGUGAUGGGAACUGCUUUCAUGAUAUGAGGUUUCACCAUUGUUGGCUGGGUGUGGUAGCACUCUCUUGAGAAAAGUGUGGGUGAAAUUUGGGAAUCACAGUACUCCUGCUUUAUUUUUCUCUGGUAGCCAAAUUAAGAUCCUAGCAAUGGAGCCAUUAUUUUUCUAAUUUUAUUCUGUUCUCUUUAAUGGGUUUCAUUACAAACACAUACAACUAGUCACCUCGAGCUCAUACAUGCUGGGAAACAUCUGUUAAUUGAAUAUUAAGAUAGCCAGAGUGUUAUAAUGGAUAGAAACUACUGGGAUAUGAUGCUAGCCCACAGCCUUCCCUUUCAAUCCAAGAGUACGUGCUUCAGGGAGCGAGGGAGAAGAGUAUAUGAAUUUAAUUUCAGACAUUCACUUUUUAGGUGCCCCCAAGGGACGUACCCAUUUCCUAUAUAAGGUUUGGUCUGUUUGCAAUUAAGCUCUCUUCUUUGCAUAUUUCCAGAUAGAUUAAAAAUAGCAAAAUCAGCUUAUUCUUGGACUUCUGGAGAUAAACAAAGCCGUUGCUUCCAGGGGUUUUAAAACACUGAUCAGGCUUAUAGAUCUUGAAGGCAGAAUUUGUCCAUGAAUUUUCUAUGCUGGAUAAACAAGAAUUUCCAAAGAUAGGAGAAAAGGUAGGAGCACAUUUCUAUAACUGGAGAUCUUCUAAAGCAACUAACUUUUGCAGCUUUCAUUUUUAAAUAAAACUAAAUGUUGA